AUUGACAGGAUGAGAUGAACGAGCUCCUCCUGAACCUUCAUUUAGAGCCUCAUUUAAAUACAGAAUGAGUUCAUUUGCAUAUUGAUCAGAUGCUUCAGUGCUCUGAGAGUGUUUAUAGUGCUGUGAGUUUAACACUUCAUCACUGACACACACAACAAUCUUCAUCAACAUGACCUUCAUCAUCAUCUUCAUCUGGACUCUCACAGCGUUUGCUCAAGAGUGUAGAGGACAGAUCACCGUCACUCAGAGUCCCUCAAUGACAGCAGCUCAACUAGGACAAACUGUGGAGAUCAACUGUAAAACCAGCACAGAUGUGGCCAGUUAUUCCGGAACAUACUUUUUCAGCUGGUACUUACAGAAACCUGGAGAAGCUCCUAAACUCUGGAUUUAUGGAACAAACAGCCUCCAGUCAGGAACUCCAUCUAGAUUCAGUGGCAGUGGAUCUAACAGUGAUUUCAUUCUGACCAUCAGUGGAGUCCAGACUGAAGAUGCUGGACAUUAUUACUGUCUGAGUUUCCACACUGGUCCAGUGAUCAUACAGUGAUAAAGAGUCGUACAAAAACCUCCGUCAGUCAGAGUCACAGUGACUGAACUGAUACUGCAGCUGCUCACACACUUUCACACACUUUCACACACACUCAACAGCAGAAGGUUUUCAAACACACAGAUCUAAACAUUCUUCUACAAACGUUUUCUCUCUCAUAAACUUUCAUCAAGUCAAGUCAGCAGACCAAACACAUCUGAAACCAGACAAAAUGGACCUGAUGGACUAAUUUC